GCAUCCUUAGCUCAGUUGGUAGAGCAGCGCUUUUACACAGCGAAGGUCGCAGGUUCGAAUCCUGCAGGAUGCA
rnacentral:tRNA from 2 species